GACGAACGCUGGCGGCGUGCCUAACACAUGCAAGUGGAGCGACGAACCAGGCUUCGGCCUGGGGCAAAGCCGCGAACGGGUGAGUAACACGUGGGUAACCUGCCCUGAUGAUUGGGACAACCCGAGGAAACUCGGGCUAAUACCGAAUGUGCCCUCCGGCCUCAAGGCCGCUGGGAAAGGAAGCUUCGGCCUCCGCAUCGGGAU
rnacentral:rRNA from 1 species